rnacentral:rRNA from 1 species
CCUACGGGUGACAGCAGUGGGGAAUAUUGCACAAUGGGCGAAACCCUGAUGCAGCGACGCCGCGUGAAGGAAGAAGUACUUCGGUAUGUAAACUUCUAUCAGCAGGGAAGAAAGUGACGGUACCUGACUAAGAAGCCCCGGCUAACUACGUGCCAGCAGCCGCGGUAAUAAGUAGGGGGCAAGCGUUAUCCGGAUUUACUGGGUGUAAAGGGAGCGUAGGCGGCGAUGCAAGUCAGAAGUGAAAGCCCGGGGCUCAACUCUGGGACUGCAUGUGAAACUGUAUGGCUAGAGGGCAGGAGAGGCAAGAGGAAUGCGUGGUGUAGCAGUGAAAGGCGUAGAUAUGAAGAGGAACA